rnacentral:rRNA from 1 species
CACGGGGGGAGCAAGCGUUGUUCGGAUUCAUUGGGCGUAAAGGGCUCGUAGGUGGCUUUGUAAGUCGGAGGUGAAAUCCCACGGCUCAACCGUGGACACGCCUUCGAAACUGUCAAGCUAGAGUCUGGAAGAGGAGAGCGGAAUUCCCGGUGUAGUGGUGGAAUGCGUAGAGAUCGGGAGGAACACCAGUGGCGAAAGCGGCUCUCUGGUCCAAAACUGACGCUGAGGGGCGAAAGCGUGGGGAGCGAACGGG